rnacentral:tRNA from 2 species
GCUGAUAUAGUUCAGUUGGUAGAGCGCACCCUUGGUAAGGGGUGAGGUCGACGGUUAGACUCCGCCUAUUAGCACCA